CGGCAUAUUGGGCAAACCUGGCGAAAGGCAGGGACGCAAAGCUAUGGGUCUAACGAAUUAUCAUCUAAGAUUGCCAAGCUGCAUUA
rnacentral:ncRNA from 1 species